rnacentral:rRNA from 1 species
GAUGAACGCUGGCGGCGUGCCUAAUACAUGCAAGUCGAGCGAACGGACGAGAAGCUUGCUUCUCUGGUGUUAGCGGCGGACGGGUGAGUAACACGUGGAUAACCUACCUAUAAGACUGGGAUAACUUCGGGAAACCGGAGCUAAUACCGGAUAAUAUUUUGAACCGCAUGGUUCAAAAGUGAAAGACGGUCUUGCUGUCACUUAUAGAUGGAUCCGCGCUGCAUUAGCUAGUUGGUAAGGUAACGGCUUACCAAGGCAACGAUGCAUAGCCGACCUGAGAGGGUGAUCGGCCACACUGGAACUUGGACACGGUCCAGACUCCUACGGGAGGCAGCAGUAGGGAAUCUUCCGCAAUGGGCGAAAGCCUGACGGAGCAACGCCGCGUGAGUGAUGAAGGUCUUCGGAUCGUAAAACUCUGUUAUUAGGGAAGAACAUAUGUGUAAGUAACUGUGCACAUCUUGACGGUACCUAAUCAGAAAGCCACGGCUAACUACGUG